rnacentral:rRNA from 1 species
UACGAAGGGUGCAAGCGUUACUCGGAAUUACUGGGCGUAAAGCGUGCGUAGGUGGUGAGUUAAGUCUGUCGUGAAAGCCCCGGGCUCAACCUGGGAAUGGCGAUGGAUACUGGCUCGCUAGAGUGCGGUAGAGGAGAGUGGAAUCCCGGUGUAGCAGUGAAAUGCGUAGAGAGUCGGGAGGAACAUCAGUUGCGAAGGCGGCUCUCUGGACCAG